rnacentral:misc_RNA from 1 species
AAGUCGUAACAAGGUUUCCGUAGGUGAACCUGCGGAAGGAUCAUUACCAGUUUUUUCUGGCCACCCGUGACAAACUACCUUUGCUUGCCUUCGGGCAAUUUUUACUCUGAAUCAGUUUUCUGAAUUAAGACAAAAUACAAAAAACUUUCAACAAUGGAUCUCUUGGCUCGA